ACUGGCAGGCUAGAGUCUUGUAGAGGGGGGUAGAAUUCCAGGUGUAGCGGUGAAAUGCGUAGAGAUCUGGAGGAAUACCGGUGGCGAAGGCGGCCCCCUGGACAAAGACUGACGCUCAGGUGCGAAAGCGUGGGGAGCAAACAGGAUUAGAUACCCUGGUAGUCCACGCCGUAAACGAUGUCGAUUUGGAGGUUGUGCCCUUGAGGCGUGGCUUCCGGAGCUAACGCGUUAAAUCGACCGCCUGGGGAGUACGGCCGCAAGGUUAAAACUCAAAUGAAUUGACGGGGGCCCGCACAAGCGGUGGAGCAUGUGGUUUAAUUCGAUGCAACGCGAAGAACCUUACCUGGUCUUGACAUCCACAGAACUUUCCAGAGAUGGAUUGGUGCCUUCGGGAACUGUGAGACAGGUGCUGCAUGGCUGUCGUCAGCUCGUGUUGUGAAAUGUUGGGUUAAGUCCCGCAACGAGCGCAACCCU
rnacentral:rRNA from 1 species